rnacentral:rRNA from 1 species
AAAUUGAAGAGUUUGAUCAUGGCUCAGAUUGAACGCUGGCGGCAGGCCUAACACAUGCAAGUCGAACGGUAACAGGAAACAGCUUGCUGUUUCGCUGACGAGUGGCGGACGGGUGAGUAAUGUCUGGGAAACUGCCUGAUGGAGGGGGAUAACUACUGGAAACGGUAGCUAAUACCGCAUAACGUCGCAAGACCAAAGAGGGGGACCCUCGGGCCUCUUGCCAUCGGAUGUGCCCAGAUGGGAUUAGCUUGUUGGUGGGGUAACGGCUCACCAAGGCGACGAUCCCUAGCUGGUCUGAGAGGAUGACCAGCCACACUGGAACUGAGACACGGUCCAGACUCCUACGGGAGGCAGCAGUGGGGAAUAUUGCACAAUGGGCGCAAGCCUGAUGCAGCCAUGCCGCGUGUAUGAAGAAGGCCUUCGGGUUGUAAAGUACUUUCAGCGGGGAGGAAGGGAGUAAAGUUAAUACCUUUGCUCAUUGACGUUACCCGCAGAAGAAGCACCGGCUAACUCCGUGCCAGCAGC